rnacentral:rRNA from 1 species
GUGUGCCUACGGGACGCAGCAGUGAGGAAUAUUGGUCAAUGGCCGAGAGGCUGAACCAGCCAAGUCGCGUGAGGGAAGACGGCCCUACGGGUUGUAAACCUCUUUUGUCGGGGAGCAAAGCGAGUCACGUGUGACUCAUUGAGAGUACCCGAAGAAAAAGCAUCGGCUAACUCCGUGGCAGCAGCCGCGGUAAUACGGAGGAUGCGAGCGUUAGCCGGAUUUAUUGGGGUUAAAGGGUGCGCAGGCGGUCUG